GAGGACCCAGAAAUAACUUUUCCU
rnacentral:piRNA from 1 species